rnacentral:rRNA from 1 species
GACGAACCGUGCGAACGUUGUUCGGAUUCCCUGGGCUUAAAGCGCACGUAGGCGGAUACUUAAGUCAGGGGUGAAAUCCCGGGGCUCAACCCCGGAACUGCCUUUGAUACUGGGUAUCUCGAGUCCGGAAGAGGUGAGUGGAAUUCCGAGUGUAGAGGUGAAAUUCGUAGAUAUUCGGAGGAACACCAGUGGCGAAGGCGGCUCACUGGUCCGGUACUGACGCUGAGGUGCGAAAGCGUGGGGAGCAAACAGG